GGAUGUAAAGGCAAGCUGACUAUGACCUCUGUCACCACAUUGAUCACCAGGGUUGAUUUGGCUGAUCUGCGAGGCUAGGUGGGUUUCCCCUUCCUCCCUCACUGCUGCAUGUGUGCCCCUCCCAAAGCUGUGCACUUGGUUGAAAAGGACAACCUUUCCUGAAUAGAGGAGGAUCCAUCUCUGGUCAAGUGUACACACAUAGCUGUACUCUCGUGCUAAAACCUCCAAACAAGCUCUCAAAAGAUUAUUUCUUUUACUUUCCAUUCAAGUCUUGCCCAUUUUCUUAAUAUUUUCAUUUAAAGACAUAUUUUCCAUU
rnacentral:snRNA from 1 species